ensembl:lncRNA
AAAGAAGCCAACUUGGCUUAGGCCGACAUUAAUGGUAGUAAACUUCUACAUUCCACACAUUUCAGAUAAUGUCUUCUAGUUGAAUAUAACCUGGAUACAACAUUUCAUUUACAACAUUUUCGGGAAGAAAAAAAAAAUAUAUAUAAAUAAAAAUAGAACAUAUGACGGAAACCCUUUAAACAUCGAAGCACCACUUCCUUCAUAACAUCACCUAGCGAUUGUUUUGUGAUCAGAAAGGGAACUCCUCUAAGUUCAGGACUGCAGAAUUAGAUACGGAGUGACAGCAGAGGUUCUUGCUGAGGUGUAUGACCUCAGAAGGUCAAGAGUAGUGUGCAUUUUUUUUUUACCAUGGUUGAAAUCCUCACCUAUCAUCAGACGGGUCGGUCAUCAUGGUUGAAAUCCUCACCCAUCCUCAGAGAGACGGGUCAUCAUUAUGGUUGAAAUCCUCAGAGAGACGGGUCAUCAUUAUGGUUGAAAUCCCCAGAGAGAUGGGUCAUCAUUAUGGUUGAAAUCCUCAGAGAGACGGGUCAUCAUUAUGGUUGAAAUCCUCAGAGAGACGGGUCAUCAUUAUGGUUGAAAUCCCCAGAGAGAUGGGUCAUCAUUAUGGUUGAAAUCCUCAGAGAGACGGGUCAUCAUUAUGGUUGAAAUCCUCAGAGAGACGGGUCAUCAUUAUGGUUGAAAUCCUCAGAGAGACGGGUCAUCAUUAUGGUUGAAAUCCUCAGAGAGAUGGGUCAUCAUUAUGGUUGAAAUCCGCACCCAUCCUCAGAGAGAAGGGUCAUCAUUAUGGUUGAAAUCCGCACCCAUCCUCAGAGAGAAGGGUCAUCAUUAUGGUUGAAAUCCUCACCCAUCCUCAGAGAGAAGGGUCAUCAUUAUGGUUGAAAUCCUCACCCAUCCUCAGAGAGAGACAGAUCAUCAUUGUAGAUGUGUUUAAAAGGCCCUACAAUCACUUAUUCUAUGUACAAACAUUGAGAUCAGGCGAUGAUUGAGGACAUUUUUCAACUGAAAACAAAACCAGUCGGUUAUUAUUGGACAAGUCCAAGUCGUCUUCCGUUUGAUACCUAAUGAAUACAAUCCUGUAUCAGCAGGAGGGGAGUGAUCAAAACAACAGUAUGAGGCAGCCGUGGGCAACAUCCCAAAUGGCACCCCCAUAUAGUUCCCUACCCAAUGGACCCUGGUCAAAAGUAGUGCACUAUAACAUCGGGAAUAGGGUGCCAUUUGAGACGCCUGAAAUGUUGAGAACAUGGCCACAGACCACCAUGGGGGAAGAUAUCAGGUCUGAUAGCAGCUCGUUCGCCAACAACCAAUGGGAGAUCACCUCUGACAGCAGCUAGAUCGCCAACAACCAAUGGGAGAUCAUCUCUGAUAGCAGCUAGAUCGCCAACAACCAAUGGGAGAUCAUCUCUGACAGCAGCUAGAUCGCCAACAACCAAUGGGAGAUCAUCUCUGAUAGCAGCUCGAUCGCCAACAACCAAUGGGAGAUCAUCUCUGAUAGCAGCUCGAUCACCAACAACCAAUGGGAGAUCAUCUCUGAUAGCAGCUAGAUCACCAACAACCAAUGGGAGAUCAUCUCUGAUAGCAGAAUCAUCACUAACAAGUGCUGUAAGUGCUGUUAUUGUGAAGUGAACAAGUCUAGGGGAAACAACGGCUUAGCCGCAAAGUGGUAGGCCACACAAGCUCACAGAACGGGAUUGUCGAGUGCUGUAGUUCGUAGCUCGUAACAGUCGUCUGUCCUCAGUCGCAACACUCAGUACGAGUUCCAAACUGCUUCUGGAAGCAACGUCAGCACAGUAACUGUUAGUCGGGACCUUCAUGAAAUAGGUUUUCAUGGCAGAGCAGCCGCAUACAAGCCUAAGAUCACCAUGCGCAAUGCCAAGCGUCGGCUGGAGUAGUGUAAAGCUCGCCGCCAUUGGACUCUGGAGCAGUGGAAACGCGUUCUCUGAAGUGAUGAAUCACGCUCCACCAUCUGGCAAUCCCACGGACGAAUCUGGGUUUGGAGAAUGCCAGGAGAACGCAUAGUGCCAACUGUAAAGUUUGGUGGAGGAGGAAUAAUGGUCUGGGGCUGUUUUUCAUGGUUCAGGCCCCUUACUUCCAGUGAAAAGAAAUCUUAAUGCUACAGUACACAAUUACAUUCUAGACGAUUCUGUGCCCCCAACUUUGUGGCAACAGUUUGAGGAAGGUCAUUUCCUGUUUCAGCAUGACAAUGCCCCCGUGCAUAAAGUGAGGUCCAUACAGAAAUGGUUAGUCAAGAUCGGUGUGGAAGAACUUGACUGGCCUGCACAGAGCCCUGACCUCAACCCCAAAAAACAUCUUUGUGAUGAAUUGGAACGCCG